GACGUAGGGCGCGAGCGUUGUUCGGAUUUACUGGGCGUAAAGGGCGCGUAGGCGGCGCGGUAAGUCACUUGUGAAAUCUCUGAGCUUAACUCAGAACGGCCAAGUGAUACUGCAGUGCUAGAGUGCAGAAGGGGCAAUCGGAAUUCUUGGUGUAGCGGUGAAAUGCGUAGAUAUCGAGAGGAACACCUGCGGCGAAGGCGGGUUGCUGGGCUGACACUGACGCUGAUUGUGCGAAAGCUAGGGGAGCGAACGGG
rnacentral:rRNA from 1 species